UCCGCAAUGGGCGAAAGCCUGACGGAGCAAUGCCGCGUGAAUGAAGAAGCCNUUCGGGUCGUAAAGUUCUGUCCUUAUUGAAGAGAGGUAUGUGUGUGAAUAAUGCAUAUAUAGGACGGUAGAUAAGGAGGAAGCCCCGGCUAACUACGUGCCAGCAGCCGCGGUAAUACGUAGGGGGCGAGCGUUGUCCGGAAUCACUGGGCGUAAAGGGCGCGUAGGCGGUCUGUUAAGUCAGAUGUGAAAGGUGAGGGCUCAACCCUUAGAAUGCAUCUGAUACUGGCAGACUUGAGUACAGAAGAGGAAAGCGGAAUUCCUAGUGUAGCGGUGAAAUGCGUAGAUAUUAGGAGGAACACCAGUGGCGAAGGCGGCUUUCUGGGCUGAAACUGACGCUGAGGCGCGAAAGCGUGGGGAGCAAACAGGAUUAGAUACCCUGGUAGUCCGCGCCGUAAACGAUGGGUACUAGGUGUCGGGAGUAUCGAUACUUUCGGUGCCGGAGUAAACACAAUAAGUACCCCGCCUGGGGAGUACGAUCGCAAGAUUGAAACUCAAAGGAAUUGACGGGGGCCCGCACAAGCGGUGGAGCAUGUGGUUUAAUUCGACGCAACGCGAAGAACCUUACCAAGACUUGACAUCCUGCUGACGUUUGGGGUAAUGCCCGAAGUUAUUCUUCGGAAUACAGCAGAGACAGGUGGUGCAUGGUU
rnacentral:rRNA from 1 species